rnacentral:lncRNA from 1 species
AAAUAGCAAAAUGACAGAAAAAAAAAAAAAUCCACACUUAAAAAAAAAAAUUUGUUUUGUUUUUUUAGGGCCACGCCCACGGCACAUGGAGGUUCCCAGGCUAGGGGUUGAAUCAGAGCUUCAGCUGCAGGCCUACCCACAGUCACAGCAAUGCAGGAUCCAAGCCACAUCUGCAGCCUACAUCACAGCUCAUGGCAACACCAGAUCCUUAACCCACUAAGCAAGGCCAGGGAUUGAACCUGCGUCCUCAUGGUUACUAGUCAGAUUCAUUUCUGCUGAGCCACAAUGGGAACUCCAAAACACUGGUUUUUAAAAAAUUAGGGUUUGUAUUUUGUCUUUAUCAAAGUUUAACCAAGAAGGGAAUUCCAAAAGGCAAUGUUUUUUAAAGGCAUUAAAAGAAUGUACAGAUUUUUUUUCAGGAUCAAAGGGUGAAUCUUUCUGUAGGUGACACAAAAUCCCCGUCCAUAAAGAAAGGGCUCGAGGUCUUGAUAGGGAUAGAGUAGGCACACGUGGUUGCAGAAGUCCCAAUAGGGGAUCAUAGAUAAAGAGGGAAACCUGGGGGAUGUUAGCGGAUCACUGUAAGUUCAAGAAACCAACAGAAAGAAGCAGCCUUGCUUAUUAACUAGUGGAGGUGUGAGAAUUGUCUAGGUCAUUGGGUGGGGAAUGGGAUGAGGCCUGCAUUCAGAUUCAGACCAAGGGCAGGAGUUUGAAGGCCACCCUUCAGCUGAUUUGAAUACACACCCAACCGGAUACUAAGGAGGAGCUACUACUCCCAGAAAGGAAGAGGCAGGCCUUUCCAACCCCCACUCCCCUUGGAUGAUAAAACUGGUUCACUGGAUCCUUGGGCAGAGCUUCUUGCUUGCCUGCUUGUACCGCAUACAAGCGUCCUAUCUUAAUAAAUCUGUUUCUUGCCUAUCACUUUGUCUCUCACCGAAUUCCUUCUGUGUGGAGGCAUAAAGAACCUGAGCCUUGGUGAGUUCAGACACAUGGUAAGUAACUCAAAUUUAAAACUGUGGGUUUAAGUCCCAAUCUGGCUUUAGGUUGGGUAGGAGUCCCAGCACAUGGGGUCAAGUCUCAAUCUGGGUUUUGGCUGGGUUCAGGCCAUUAGUGCUGUCAGUUUCAGUUUGACUCUGCAAAACAGUAUUUUCUAGAAGACAAAAAAGCCAUAGGAGUUCCCUUCGUGGCUCAUCAGUUAAUUAACCCAACUAGGAUCCAUAAGGAUGUGUGUUUGAUCCCUGGCCUCCCUCAGUGGAUUAAGGAUCCCACGUUGCUGUUGCUGUGGCAUAGACCAGCAGCUGUAGCUUCACUUCAACCCCUAGCCUGGGAACUUCCAUAUGCCUCAAGUGCUGCCCU